rnacentral:lncRNA from 1 species
CUUUCCUUUUCGACACGUAUUUGCCGCUGCCUCUCCUCUGGCAUCAGUAAAUACGGCUUGCCAUAGAUUCUAAACCAUGGCAUGUAUUCUGGAACGCACGCUAACUCUGGAACGAUGAUUAGUUCCCGAGUAGGUAGAUAUUCAUACUGAUCUUUCCAUAUUUCCAUGUACUCAGACCAGUAUCUCGUCCAAUCCGUAUUUAAUUGCCGAAGGUCGACUUUGUGUUGAUCGUCAAACACCUCAGGAUCCACCG